UACGUAGGGUGCAAGCGUUAAUCGGAAUUACUGGGCGUAAAGGGCGCGUAGGCGGCGUGUCAAGUCAGGCGUGAAAGCCCCGGGCUCAACCUGGGAACCGCGCUUGAGACUGGCAUGCUCGAGUUCGGGAGAGGAUGGUGGAAUUCCCAGUGUAGGGGUGAAAUUCGUAGAUAUUGGGGAAGAACACCGGUGGCGAAGGCGGCCUUCUGGACAGUGACUGACGCUGAGACGCGAAAGCGUGGGGAGCAAACAGG
rnacentral:rRNA from 1 species